rnacentral:rRNA from 1 species
UGAUGUUAGCGGCGGACGGGUGAGUAACACGUGGGUAACCUGCCUGUAAGACUGGGAUAACUCCGGGAAACCGGGGCUAAUACCGGAUGGUUGUUUGAACCGCAUGGUUCAGACAUAAAAGGUGGCUUCGGCUACCACUUACAGAUGGACCCGCGGCGCAUUAGCUAGUUGGUGAGGUAACGGCUCACCAAGGCAACGAUGCGUAGCCGACCUGAGAGGGUGAUCGGCCACACUGGGACUGAGACACGGCCCCAGACUCCUACGGGAGGCAGCAGUAGGGAAUCUUCCGCAAUGGACGAAAGUCUGACGGAGCAACGCCGCGUGAGUGAUGAAGGUUUUCGGAUCGUAAAGCUCUGUUGUUAGGGAAGAACAAGUGCCGUUCAAAUAGGGCGGCACCUUGACGGUACCUAACCAGAAAGCCACGGCUAACUACGUGCCAGCAGCCGCGGUAAUACGUAGGUGGCAAGCGUUGUCCGGAAUUAUUGGGCGUAAAGGGCUCGCAGGCGGUUUCUUAAGUCUGAUGUGAAAGCCCCCGGCUCAACCGGGGAGGGUCAUUGGAAACUGGGGAACUUGAGUGCAGAAGAGGAGAGUGGAAUUCCACGUGUAGCGGUGAAAUGCGUAGAGAUGUGGAGGAACACCAGUGGCGAAGGCGACUCUCUGGUCUGUAACUGACGCUGAGGAGCGAAAGCGUGGGGAGCGAACAGGAUUAGAUACCCUGGUAGUCCACGCCGUAAACGAUGAGUGCUAAGUGUUAGGGGGUUUCCGCCCCUUAGUGCUGCAGCUAACGCAUUAAGCACUCCGCCUGGGGAGUACGGUCGCAAGACUGAAACUCAAAGGAAUUGACGGGGGCCCGCACAAGCGGUGGAGCAUGUGGUUUAAUUCGAAGCAACGCGAAGAACCUUACCAGGUCUUGACAUCCUCUGACAAUCCUAGAGAUAGGANGUCCCCUUCGGGGGCAGAGUGACAGGUGGUGCAUGGUUGUCGUCAGCUCGUGUCGUGAGAUGUUGGGUUAAGUCCCGCAACGAGCGCAACCCUUGAUCUUAGUUGCCAGCAUUCAGUUGGGCACUCUAAGGUGACUGCCGGUGACAAACCGGAGGAAGGUGGGGGAUGACGUCAAAUCAUCAUGCCCCUUAUGACCUGGGCUACAC